rnacentral:rRNA from 1 species
GGGUUGUGAGGUUAAGCGACUAAGCGUACACGGUGGAUGCCCUGGCAGUCAGAGGCGAUGAAGGACGUGCUAAUCUGCGAAAAGCGCCGGCGAGGUGAUAUGAACCCUUGACCCGGCGAUGUCCGAAUGGGGAAACCCAGUGUGAUUCGUCACACUAUCGUUAGCUGAAUACAUAGGUUAACGAGGCGAACCGGGGGAACUGAAACAUCUAAGUACCCCGAGGAAAAGAAAUCAACCGAGAUUCCCCCAGUAGCGGCGAGCGAACGGGGAGCAGCCCGGAGUCUGAAUCAGCUUGUGUGUUAGUGGAAGCGUCUGGAAAGUCGCAGGGUACAGGGUGAUACUCCCGUACACGAAAGCACACUUGCUGUGAACUCGAAGAGUAGGGCGGGACACGUGGUAUCCUGUCUGAAUAUGGGGGGACCAUCCUCCAAGGCUAAAUACUCCUGACUGACCGAUAGUGAACCAGUACCGUGAGGGAAAGGCGAAAAGAACCCCGGCGAGGGGAGUGAAAAAGAACCUGAAACCGUGUACGUACAAGCAGUGGGAGCACCUUCGGGUGUGACUGCGUACCUUUUGUAUAAUGGGUCAGCGACUUAUAUUCUGUAGCAAGGUUAACCGUAUAGGGGAGCCGAAGGGAAACCGAGUCUUAACUGGGCGUUAAGUUGCAGGGUAUAGACCCGAAACCCGGUGAUCUAGCCAUGGGCAGGUUGAAGGUUGGGUAACACUAACUGGAGGACCGAACCGACUAAUGUUGAAAAAUUAGCGGAUGACCUGUGGCUGGGGGUGAAAGGCCAAUCAAACCGGGAGAUAGCUGGUUCUCCCGAAAGCUAUUUAGGUAGCGCCUCGUGAAUUCAUCUCCGGGGGUAGAGCACUGUUUCGGCUAGGGGGCCAUCCCGGCUUACCAACCCGAUGCAAACUGCGAAUACCGGAGAAUGUUAUCACGGGAGACACACGGCGGGUGCUAACGUCCGUCGUGAAGAGGGAAACAACCCAGACCGCCAGCUAAGGUCCCAAAGUCAUGGUUAAGUGGGAAACGAUGUGGGAAGGCACAGACAGCCAGGAUGUUGGCUUAGAAGCAGCCAUCAUUUAAAGAAAGCGUAAUAGCUCACUGGUCGAGUCGGCCUGCGCGGAAGAUGUAACGGGGCUAAACCAUGCACCGAAGCUGCGGCAGCGACACUAUGUGUUGUUGGGUAGGGGAGCGUUCUGUAAGCCUGCGAAGGUGUGCCGUGAGGCAUGCUGGAGGUAUCAGAAGUGCGAAUGCUGACAUAAGUAACGAUAAAGCGGGUGAAAAGCCCGCUCGCCGGAAGACCAAGGGUUCCUGUCCAACGUUAAUCGGGGCAGGGUGAGUCGACCCCUAAGGCGAGGCCGAAAGGCGUAGUCGAUGGGAAACAGGUUAAUAUUCCUGUACUCGGUGUUACUGCGAAGGGGGACGGAGAAGGCUAUGUUGGCCGGGCGACGGUUGUCCCGGUUUAAGCAUGUAGGCGGAGGUUCCAGGUAAAUCCGGUACCUUUUAACGCUGAGGUGUGAUGACGAGGCACUACGGUGCUGAAGCAACAAAUGCCCUGCUUCCAGGAAAAGCCUCUAAGCAUCAGGUAACAUCAAAUCGUACCCCAAACCGACACAGGUGGUCAGGUAGAGAAUACCAAGGCGCUUGAGAGAACUCGGGUGAAGGAACUAGGCAAAAUGGUGCCGUAACUUCGGGAGAAGGCACGCUGAUAUGUAGGUGAAGCCCCUGCGGGUGGAGCUGAAAUCAGUCGAAGAUACCAGCUGGCUGCAACUGUUUAUUAAAAACACAGCACUGUGCAAACACGAAAGUGGACGUAUACGGUGUGACGCCUGCCCGGUGCCGGAAGGUUAAUUGAUGGGGUUAGCGGCAACGCGAAGCUCUUGAUCGAAGCCCCGGUAAACGGCGGCCGUAACUAUAACGGUCCUAAGGUAGCGAAAUUCCUUGUCGGGUAAGUUCCGACCUGCACGAAUGGCGUAAUGAUGGCCAGGCUGUCUCCACCCGAGACUCAGUGAAAUUGAAAUCGCUGUGAAGAUGCAGUGUACCCGCGGCAAGACGGAAAGACCCGUGAACCUUUACUAUAGCUUGACACUGAACACUGGUCCUUGAUGUGUAGGAUAGGUGGGAGGCUUUGAAGUGUGGACGCCAGUCUGCAUGGAGCCGUCCUUGAAAUACCACCCUUUAAUGGCUGGUGUUCUAACGUGGACCCGUAAUCCGGGUUGCGGACAGUGUCUGGUGGGUAGUUUGACUGGGGCGGUCUCCUCCUAAAGAGUAACGGAGGAGCACGAAGGUCAGCUAAUCCUGGUCGGACAUCAGGAGGUUAGUGCAAUGGCAUAAGCUGGCUUGACUGCGAGAGUGACGGCUCGAGCAGGUGCGAAAGCAGGUCAUAGUGAUCCGGUGGUUCUGAAUGGAAGGGCCAUCGCUCAACGGAUAAAAGGUACUCCGGGGAUAACAGGCUGAUACCGCCCAAGAGUUCAUAUCGACGGCGGUGUUUGGCACCUCGAUGUCGGCUCAUCACAUCCUGGGGCUGAAGUAGGUCCCAAGGGUAUGGCUGUUCGCCAUUUAAAGUGGUACGCGAGCUGGGUUUAGAACGUCGUGAGACAGUUCGGUCCCUAUCUGCCGUGGGCGCUGGAGAAUUGAGGGGGCUGCUCCUAGUACGAGAGGACCGGAGUGGACGCAUCACUGGUGUUCGGGUUGUCAUGCCAAUGGCACUGCCCGGUAGCUAAAUGCGGAAGAGAUAAGUGCUGAAAGCAUCUAAGCACGAAACUUGCCCCGAGAUGAGUUCUCCCUGACUCCUUGAGAGUCCUGAAGGAACGUUGAAGACGACGACGUUGAUAGGCCGGGUGUGUAAGCGCAGCGAUGCGUUGAGCUAACCGGUACUAAUGAACCGUGAGGCUUAACCUUACAACGCCGAAGCUGUU